AAAACGCAUCUUGAUUAACAAAUUAUUAUUAUUUUUUUUUGAUAAACUAAAUUAUUGUUUAAAAAAUAAUUUGCCACAAAAAAAUAUAUAAUUAUUAUCGAAUUCGAUAACAAUUUUUUUUUUUUUUGAAGAAUUAUCAUAUUUGGGGCCAAUUAUUAAAUAUUUUAUCGUGUUUGGACCAGCCCCAGAUAAAUAGUGGAAGAUAUUAGACACGUAAUGCCACGAGUAACGCACACUAUAGACACUGGUGGAAUAUAUUGAUAUACUAAUAUACAUACUAUAGACACUGGUGUAUAUCAAUAUAUAUUCCACUAUAGUCUAUAGUGUGCGUUACUCGGGGCAUUACGUGUAUAAUAACUUGCACUAAAGAUACUGGUGGAAUACAGUAGUAUAUACUGAUAUACACACUUUAUAGACACUGGUGGAAUAUAUGUGAGCUUACGUAACAUUGCAUUACGUAGUAGCGUGUCCAGUAUACUCUUAACUGUGUACGGCAACUGUGUGAGCAUUACUACACGUUUCAUAAUCUUUUCGGUUUAUACUUUUUACUGAUAUUUAUCACGUCUGUUUUUUAAUUAAGUUUUGAUUGCAUAACGAACGAAGUAGGCAACUUAUUAGUGAACCGUUUUCUUCGUUAAAACUGGAAGAAAAAUUAGAUUUUAUUAAUUACAUUUGUUUCAAUUUUAAAUGGCUCUUGAAAUUUUCGUCAGUUUUCAUUAUUGUUCAUUUUUACUAAAUUAUCGCUUACUGCAGUUACAUACGGUUGAUUUUCGUUAUUCGCUGACUAUUCGCGAAAAAUUUAUUUAUAACCAUAACCGUAAAAUCAUCAAAAUCGAUUUCCGUGACGCUUUCGCGCUUAUUCGCGGAUUCCCGCUGAGCGGCGAAAAUACUUACCAAUGUAAACCUCUCUUUCUCUCUAAUAAAGGAAGUUUUUGUUACCAAACGUAAUCUCUGUGUCGUUCUGCCAGAAAAGUCUCAUUACCUAUCCUUGCUCACUCCCCAACAGUAG
rnacentral:lncRNA from 1 species